UACGAAGGGGGGCUAGCGUUGCUCGGAAUCACUGGGCGUAAAGGGUGCGUAGGCGGGUCUUUUAAGUCAGGGGUGAAAUCCUGGAGCUCAACUCCAGAACUGCCUUUGAUACUGGCAACCUAGAGACUGGAAGAGGUUAGUGGAAUUCCCAGUGUAGAGGUGAAAUUCGUAGAUAUUGGGAAGAACACCAGUGGCGAAGGCGGCUAACUGGUCCAGCACUGACGCUGAGGUGCGAAAGCGUGGGGAGCAAACAGG
rnacentral:rRNA from 1 species